rnacentral:rRNA from 1 species
CUACGGGUCGCUCCAGUGGGGAAUAUUGCACAAUGGAGGAAACUCUGAUGCAGCAACGCCGCGUGGAGGAUGACACUUUUCGGAGCGUAAACUCCUUUUAUAUAGGAAGAAGAUGACGGUACUAUAUGAAUAAGCGCCGGCUAACUCCGUGCCAGCAGCCGCGGUAAUACGGAGGGCGCAAGCGUUACUCGGAAUCACUGGGCGUAAAGAGCGUGUAGGCGGAUUAAAAAGUCAGAAGUGAAAUCCUAUAGCUUAACUAUAGAACUGCUUCUGAAACUCUUAAUCUAGAAUAUGGGAGAGGUAGAUGGAAUUUCUGGUGUAGGGGUAAAAUCCGUAGAGAUCAGAAGGAAUACCGAUUGCGAAGGCGAUCUACUAGAACAUUAUUGACGCUGAGACGCGAAAGCGUGGGGAGCAAACAGGAUUAGAUACCCGGGUAGUC